AGUACCAGUGCCGGACAUCGGAAGUGGUGGUGGAAAGGAUGGCAGAGUACAUAGAGACAGACCAGUGUGUGGAGGCAUGUGGGGUUGAUAGAAACUCUGUUGGUAUUUCAUCUGAUGCCUUCUUUGAGCCUCAAUUCACUGCCAAACUCUGCUCUUCACAAUGUUACCAAAAGUGCUUCAACAUUGUUGACCUUUUCUUCAACUUGGCUGCUGGAGAGGGUAAGAAUUCUUCAUUCCUCACUCUGAUAAUUACCACCAUCAUUACAACAUACUUUUUCUUAAGAAAAUUGUGGAUGUCAAGCAAUUAUUAUUCUAAUUAACAUAAUCAUCAAUAUUUCGACUUAUUGUUAGAUCAAUCACCGAUUCCUGUAUAUGAGAUAUUAUAUAUAGUUUUGCAUCGUUUAAGAAUCGAUGUUAAUGACAGUUUAAAUACAAUUCUUUCCCUUAACUCAUAAAAAUAUCUUUUAAAGUCAAAACCGUGACCAACGACAUUUAAAAUUGACAUUGGUGAUUGAUCUAGAAAUACUAUCUCGGACUUUUUAACUUGGGUGCAUAAUAGACCCAUUAUAUAGUCAUGGUCACCAUUAGGUAACAAACCGUGUGAAUAACUUUUCCUUGGUAGAACUUUUUCUAUGUGUAAGUUUAACUAACAAGAACAGUGAUGUCUCUUCUGAAAGACUUUCUCUGCGUGUGGUUGUGAUUGUGUUUUCUUAACUAAUACAAUAACGGCACCUCAACAAAGAGAAAAAAAAAAUUAUGGUGGUUAUCUUUUCGUAAACAUAGGGCAAUUCUCAUUCCUAUUAUUCUGCUUUUGUCCUUUGCUUUCACCAUUCACCAUCAAAACCUUAGCAUACCAAAUACCCUACAAGCCUAGAACAUUUUAACUUCAAAUCUCAUCAAGGUAUAUUUUUCUCAUAAAACAAAGAAACAUUUAAAAUAAAAUAAAAACCCUGGCUUGUUCCUGUCGCAAAAUAUUGCUAUUUUCAAUUAAGAUUUGACUUUCAUAACAAUAAGUUUCUUCUAGGUCACAUCAACAAUAACUUUAUUAUCGGUUAACCGUGUUAAAAAUUGUUUAUGACAAAACUAUAUUCAAUAAACUCUUCUAUAUGAAAACAUAAAUUUGCACACCAAAACUAAAUUAUAUUAAAUUUAUUUAUUUAUUUGUAUAAAUAUAUAUUAACUAAGCAUGGUUUGAUGUUAUGCAGGGGUAUUUUUGCCAGAACUUUGCGAGAGGCAGAAGACAAAUCCUCGUCGUGCCAUGGUUGAGCUCGUGAGCUCUGGAGCUGCACCUGGACCUGUUUCUGACGUUUCAGAGGACCUUGUGGCAGCACCUGCUCCUUCUCCUCUGUAAUUUUUUUCCACUUUCCUUGUCAGAGAUGGUGUCAAUUGGAA
rnacentral:lncRNA from 1 species